UGGACGGCACAUGGUAGGGCGGGUUCACAGGCUUAAACAUAGCAGGAUUACAAGAAGAACGAAUAUAUGGAGGCAGCAAUGCAAUGUUCAAAUGCUUUACAAAGCAUGGAAAGGACGCUUAGAACAACUUGCAAUGCUACGAAUGCUAAGUUCGACAAUGUUGUGAAGGUAAGCAUUUUCGGUCCUUGAUGGUCUUGUAUCAGAGUAUGAAAAAUCAAGUCAUGGUCCAGGAAAAUGGCAGAAGCUAGCUAUGUUCUUACAAAAAAGUUUGGAAGGACCACUACUUGAUCUCACCAAGAGAUUAAUUGACCAAGUUGGAUUAGAGAAAAAUACACUUCUGUUAAAAUGCCGGUCAAUCAAAGAUAAGUUGGCGUUACUUAACAAGCAGCUGGAAGCAAGUGAUAAGUCAAAGUCUGAAUAUCUGAAACGUUAUGAGGAAUCUAUCGAUGAAAAGAAGCAGCUAGCUGAUGAAUAUAUGGCUCGUAUAGCAAACUUACAGAGUGAUUGCAGUUCACUGGGUGAGAGGUAGUCUAGCAUGUUGAAGGCACUGGAUACCGCCAAGCAAGAAUCUGUGGACUCGCAAAGAAAAUACGAGUAGAACUGAUGAAAUAUAUUUUGAUUAUGUUUGCUUGUUUACCGUUGAUGGUGUAAUAAAUUUAUAAAAUUGUUGACUCUUUGUAAUAUGUAAAUUUGGUUUAUUUUUU